rnacentral:rRNA from 1 species
GACGUAGGGCGCAAGCGUUGUCCGGAUUUAUUGGGCGUAAAGAGCUCGUAGGCGGUUUGUCGCGUCGGCCGUGAAAUCUCCACGCUUAACGUGGAGCGUGCGGUCGAUACGGGCAGACUUGAGUUCGGUAGGGGAGACUGGAAUUCCUGGUGUAGCGGUGAAAUGCGCAGAUAUCAGGAGGAACACCGGUGGCGAAGGCGGGUCUCUGGGCCGAUGACUGACGCUGAGGAGCGAAAGCGUGGGGAGCGAACAGG